UUGAGUUUGGACGGGAGACUGUGAGGUCUUGUUGAGUUUGGAAGGGAGACUGUGAGGUCUUGUUGAGUUUGGAAGGGAGACUGUGGGGUCUUGUUGAGUUUGGAAGGGAGACUGUGAGGUCUUGUUGAGUCAGCAGGCAGGUGGUGGUCGGUACAAUAGGAGAACACCAGGGAAACAUAUUACAUCACUCUUCUGCACACACACACACACACACACACACGCGCGCACACACGCACACGCACGCACAUACACACACACACGCACACACAUACACACGCACGCACACACAUACACACGCACACACACAUACACACACACACACGCACACACACACACACGCACACACACCCUCCUUGUCAAGUGUGUGUGCCAGCAUGUAAUGCUUGGAGUUUAUGCUCAAUCUUACUCACUGAACCAUUCGGCUCACUGUUCUCAGUCAAUCUUUAGCCUCUUCUCUCUCAGUCACUCUCUCUCUCUCUUGCUCUCUCACGCUCUCCAUCUCGAUCUCUCCCCCCUCUUUCUCUCUCUCUCUCUCUCUCAGGCUCUCCACCUCAAUCCCCUCUCUCUCUCUCUCUCUCUCUCACCCUCUCGAUCUCGAUCUCGCAUCUCUCUCUCUCUCUCUCUUUCUCUUUCUCAAUCUCUCCUUCCUCCUUCCUGUCUCCCCAUCUCGUCUUUCUCUCUCUGUAUCCUCCUUCUUCCUGUUUAGGAAAUAACAGGUACAUAUAGAUGUCAGGUGUGUGUGUGUGCUCCGUCUAAGACCGAGUCGCCUGCUGCACCACCAGGCUCCUGGGAGGUGACCCAUUUUCCCAUGAUUCACCACACAAGCACACGACUGCGCUGAUCCCAUCCAGGGCCUAAUACCUUGUUUGACUGAUCCAUCAAUUAUGAAUCAGCAGCAACAGCACUACUUUUAACCACUUAAGUCUUCAGCAGAACGGGAGGGUUGAGAGGGCUUGGAGAGGAGGGAAAUGUUGAGGGUUGAGAGGAGGGAAAUGUUGAGGGUUGAGAGAGCUAGGAGAGGAGGGAAAUGUUGAGGGUUGAGAGGAGGGAAAUGUUGAGGGUUGAGAGUGCUUGGAGAGGAGGGAAAUGUUGAGGGUUGAGAGGGCUAGGAGAGGAGGGAAAUGUUGAGGGUUGAGAGGAGGGAAAUGUUGAGGGUUGAGAGGGCUUGGAGAGGAGGGAAAUGUUGAGGGUUGAGAGGAGGGAAAGGUUGAGGGUUGAGAGGAGGGAAAUGUUGAGGGUUGAGAGGGUUAGGAGAGGAGGGAAAUGUUGAGGGUUGAGAGGGCUAGGAGAGGAGGGAAAUGUUGAGGGUUGAGAGAGCUAGGAGAGGAGGGAAAUGUUGA
ensembl:lncRNA